UACAGUGGUCCCGAGCGUUGUUCGGAUUCACUGGGCGUAAAGGGUGCGUAGGUGGCAGGGUAAGUCGGAGUGUGAAAGCUCGGAGCUCAACUCCGAAAUGGCAUUGGAAACUACCCAGCUCGAGGGUUGGAGGGGGGACUGGAAUGCUUGGUGUAGCAGUGAAAUGCGUAGAUAUCAGAAGGAACAUCAGUGGCGGAAAGCGGCUUCCUGGACCAGAACUGACGAUCAGGCACGAAAGCGUGGGGAGCAAACAGG
rnacentral:rRNA from 1 species